GAUCCGCCGAGGCAACAAAUGUAUGUUCACACGGUUUGGGAGUUUCAACCUGCGUAAUGAUCCUGUCCGUAGGGUGAACCUGCGGAGGGAUCAUUACCGAGUUUACAACUCCCAAACCCCUGUGAACAUACCACUUGUUGCCUCGGCGGAUCAGCCCGCUCCCGGUAAAACGGGACGGCCCGCCAGAGGACCCCUAAACUCUGUUUCUAUAUGUAACUUCUGAGUAAAACCAUAAAUAAAUCAAAACUUUCAACAACGGAUCUCUUGGUUCUGGCAUCGAUGAAGAACGCAGCAAAAUGCGAUAAGUAAUGUGAAUUGCAGAAUUCAGUGAAUCAUCGAAUCUUUGAACGCACAUUGCGCCCGCCAGUAUUCUGGCGGGCAUGCCUGUUCGAGCGUCAUUUCAACCCUCAAGCACAGCUUGGUGUUGGGACUCGCGUUAAUUCGCGUUCCUCAAAUUGAUUGGCGGUCACGUCGAGCUUCCAUAGCGUAGUAGUAAAACCCUCGUUACUGGUAAUCGUCGCGGCCACGCCGUUAAACCCUCAACUUCAUGAAUGUUGACCUCGGAUCAGGGGAGGGACGC
rnacentral:rRNA from 1 species